rnacentral:piRNA from 1 species
UACCAGGUGAAUGGUAUGCAGCCCGAGGAU